AUGUACAUUCUUACAACAUAGCGUUAAUGUAGUAGAUGCCAUUAGAACUUCGCAGUUAAGCACGCUCAGGUUAGAGUAGUACUGGGAUAGGUGACCACCUGGGAAGUCCUAGUGUUUUACAUG
rfam:Picea glauca, whole genome shotgun sequence.